rnacentral:tRNA from 1 species
AGGGCGUGUAGUUUAAAAAGAGCGUCGGUUUUGUAAUCCGAAAGUGAGAAUAAGUCUCUGUGUCCUG